CACGUAGGGGGCGAGCGUUGUCCGGAUUUAUUGGGCGUAAAGAGCUCGUAGGCGGUCUGUCGCGUCUGCUGUGAAAACUCAGGGCUUAACCCUGAGCUUGCAGUGGGUACGGGCAGACUAGAGUGCGGUAGGGGAGACUGGAAUUCCUGGUGUAGCGGUGAAAUGCGCAGAUAUCAGGAGGAACACCGGUGGCGAAGGCGGGUCUCUGGGCCGUAACUGACGCUGAGGAGCGAAAGCAUGGGGAGCGAACAGG
rnacentral:rRNA from 1 species